rnacentral:piRNA from 1 species
UAUCACAAAGUUGGAUCAGUG